UAAGACCUCAAAUCAGGUGGGACUACCUGCUGAACUUAAGCAUAUCAAUAAGCAGAGGAAAAGAAACUAACCAGGAUUCCCCUAGUAAUGGCGAGUGAAGAGGGAAAAGCCCAAAUUUGUAAUCUGGCUCUUUUUAAAGGAGUCUGAGUUGUAAUUUUGAGAACYGUUUUCAGUGCUGGACCAUGUACAAGUCUGUUGAAAAACAGCAUCAUUGAGGGUGAUAAUCCCGUUCAUGAUAUGGACUACCAAGUGCAAUAUGAUACAGUCUCUAAGAGUCGAGUUGUUUGGGAAUGCAGCUCAAAAAGGGUGGUAAAUUCCAUCUAAGGCUAAAUAUUGAUGAGAGACCGAUAGCAAACAAGUACCGUGAGGGAAAGAUGAAAAGAACUUUGGAAAGAGAGUUAACAGUACGUGAAAUUGUUAAAAGGGAAACAAUUGAAGUUAGUCUUGUUAUUAUUGGUUCAGCUUUAAAUAGUGUAUUCCAAUUUUUAACAGAUCAACAUCAAUUCUUGGGUGUUGGAUAAGGGUCUUGUGAAAUGUAGCAGCUUUUUUGCUGUGUUAUAGUCUGAAACUUUGAUACAGUGCCUAGGAUUGAGGAAUGCAGUGAGC
rnacentral:rRNA from 1 species